rnacentral:lncRNA from 1 species
UAAAUUUAAAAUUUAAAAUUUAAGUUUAAAUUUAAAUUUUGAAAAUUGAAAAUUAAAAAUUAAAAAUUAAAUUAAAAUUUGAAAUUUGAAAUUUAAAAUUUGAAAUUUGAAAUUUUUGAAAUUUGAAAUUUGAAAUUUGAACUUUUUGAAAUUUGAAAUUUGAAAUUUGAAUUUUGAAAUUUGAAAUUUGAAAGUUGAAAUUUGAAAUUUGAAAGUUGAAAUUUGAAAGUUGAAAUUUGAAAUUUGAAGUUUGAAAUUUGAAAUUUGAAAUUUGAAAUUUGAACUUUUUGAAAUUUAAAAUUUUAAAUUUGAAAUUUGAAAUUUAAAAUCAAAAUUUAAAUUGAAUUUUAAAAUUUUAAAUUUUGAAAUUUAAAAUUUUAUGUUGAAAUUUAAAAUUUAGAAAUUGAUAUAUUUUUUGAAGCCCAAAAUGGUAGAAUUUUUUUCCUUUGGUUAAAGUAGAUUGUAAGUUUACUCUAUUUUUUAAAGUAUAGUAUAACUAUACUUCAAAAAUUACGUUAUUUUUUUUUUCGUCCAAACGCUUCAUAGGAUUAUUUUCCUACCGGCAUUGCAUAGUUUAACUAUGCUACGUUUUUAGAGGUACCCAAACGGGGCCUAAUACCCCACUAAGUUUGUGACAAAAGCUUUGGCCUUUUCCUCUUUUCUCUCUCUCUCUCUCUUUCUUUAUGUAUACCAGCUUUGUACUGGAAUGUCCUUUGCCAUUGUUCAAAACGAAGAAAACCGCCACAUGGACUCUCUCACGCUCCCCGCUCCCUCUUUAUCUCCUGAAUUUUUUUACAAACAAUCCUCUACAAUUUGAUAAUUUACAAAAUAACCUCCCUCUUUAUCUCCUGAACUUUUUUACAAAAUAAUUCUUUAAAAUUUGAUAAUUUACAACAACAAUCGUGUCCAAAUUAUAUUUGAAAAACUAACCUUCUUAUGAAGAUUUUCUUUGAAGACGGUAAACCAUUUACCGUCUUCCUAAUUUUCCACAAAGACUUCGCUUAUUUAUUAUUUCUUUCUAUAUCAUAUAUAUAAAAUUCUAACUAUCACGUAAAUAUUUUAACAAAUCACGUAUAAUCUUAACAACCUGAAAAUCCUAAUAAUUUAUCCAUAUAAUUUUAUAUAAUCUUAACAGCCUAAAAGUUCUAAUAGUAUAUCCAUAUAAUUUUAUAUAAUCUUAACAGCCUGAAAAUCCUAAUAAUCUAUUCAUACGAUCCUAACAAUCAAAAAAAAUUCUAAUAAUAUAUUCAUACAAUCCUGAUAAUCAAAUAAAAAUUCUAAUUAUCUAUAUAUAAUCCUAGCAACCUCACUUUUUUAUAUUUCCUAUAUAAUCCACGCACAAGUUUUAUUGGGAAUCCGGUACUCGCCCCAGUACCGGAUAUCGUGAAUCCGCAACCCGCUCCGAUACUGACUGCUGUGGAUCCGGUAUCGAUUGUUGGGAUUCCGCAACGGAAACUUCGAAUCGGGUUUUUACCAUAAACCCGUCUCUUCAGCAAAAACUGAUACAAUCAUAAAAGAAAAAAAAUAUGCAGGUAAAAUAAGAUUCAUUAAAUAAGAGAAGAUUACACCUGCCUCCUCUUCUGCACAGAGUAGCUACAACCCGAGCCCUCUUUCUUUAAUUUCUUCUACCCUUCUCUCGUCUUCUAUAAACCCAUAAAGAAGACAAUCAUUCACACACACCCGUGCACUAGGUGUACUCAAUAACUCUCUCUCUCUCUCUCUUUUUCUCUCUCUGGUACGGCACCUCCAAGCUCUCAACCGUACUACUCCCAAAAAAAGCACCAUCAAGAGCUAUUUAUAAUGCUCAACUUAAAACGUACCACAAUCCUAAUAUAUUUAGGAUUCAUACUCUAAUAUUUAAAUCUAUCUUAAUCAAUCUCUAAUAGAUUUAAAUAUUAAUCCUAAUCUAGUUAGAUUUAUCCUCUAAUUAAUAUUUAAAUCUUAAUUUAUCAUUUAAAUAUUAAUUUUUAUCCAAAUAGAAUUUAACUACAAAUCUAACCAAAUCUUAACAAUUUUAAUGAAUGUGGCGAACGAUUCACCGUCUUCAAAAAAAAUUGGAGAAUGCGGGGAAUGAUUCACCAUCUUUAAAAGACAUGGGAGGACACAGUGAACGAUUCACCGCUUUUCGAAAAAUAAUCUCAGAUGGAGAAAAGAGAGUUAAUAUAAAUUUUACAGGAUUAUUUCAUAAUUAUAAAAUUUUAGAGGGUUAUUUUAAAAAAAAAAAAUCCAUAUCUCCUCCCCCAUUGUCUUCUACUCUGCACACCCCCUCUUCUCCACCUCAUAGUUAUUAACUGCUUUUGGGCCUUUUCCUACCUUGGAUAGUUUCCACUUUCCAGUUACCAACUCUUUUAUUAGCAUGUUUAUGUAUGCAUAUUAUUAUACCACUGAGUGUCCUUAGGUCUCACUGUAAAGUGUAGUGCUGAUCCAGUAGUAGCUUAUUCAGAUCAUACGCAAUACAAAGUUACUGCUUUUAUCAUUUGUUUUUUAUAAAAUAAGAAAAAACUUCAAAUAUUACCUAUAUGAUUUCGCACUAUCUCACUUUAACAUCUGUAGUUUAAAUUGUAUCACUUCCGUACUCUGCGGUUUUAUUUUUCUCUUUUUGUUAUCUCCUCCGCUAAUUUUUUUUCGUUAAAUCAGCGACAAAGUUAAAACUAAAGUGUACUAAAGUGAAUAUUCGGUAAACUAUAAUUGGAUAUCUAAAAUUUUUUAUAUAUGAUUAACGGAGGAGCUCACGAAAAGAGAAAAAAGAAACCACGUAAUACUAAUUGAUAUAUUUUAAACUAUAGAAUAGUAAAGUGAAAAUAUAUGAAACCACAUGAAUGGUAUUUAGAAUUUACCCUAC